rnacentral:rRNA from 1 species
UACGUAGGUGGCAAGCGUUGUCCGGAAUUAUUGGGCGUAAAGCGCGCGCAGGUGGUUUCUUAAGUCUGAUGUGAAAGCCCACGGCUCAACCGUGGAGGGUCAUUGGAAACUGGGGAACUUGAGUGCAGGAGAGAAGAGUGGAAUUCCACGUGUAGCGGUGAAAUGCGUAGAGAUGUGGAGGAACACCAGUGGCGAAGGCGGCUUCCUGGACUGCAACUGACGCUGAGGCGCGAAAGCUAGGGGAGCAAACAGG